ACGAUGUUCAUGAUCAAAAAAGAUCUAUGCAAUCAUCUGCUACUGCAGUACCUUUACAUAAGUUGUAGUUUUAGUUCAUUUACUUCAAAGAUUGUUGUAAUGUUAAGUUAAUAUGAUUAUAAAGACAUUCAAUGCCUUGUGUUACAUAUUUUCCACCGGUGGUAACUCCUAUGCCACUCUGAGAUUCUCUGCAUAUGCUUUUGUAGCAUUGUCUUAUGAUAAAUAUGUUCUGGCAUUUCCUCUCAUUAAAUAUGUUGUAAAGAAUAUGAUAAUAAAUAUGAGCAAUUGACCAUUAUAUACAAGCUGCAUUUCCUUGAAAUCUCAAGUAUUGGUAAAAGCUGUGAGCCUAACUUGAUGAUGUUUUUUGUUUGUAUACAAUAAUUUAGCCACAUCAUAUCAGAAUUUGUCUCAUGCCAUGUGUACCCAGUGUAGCCCCAGAUUAGCCUGCGCAAGUGUGUCAAGGUUUUAUGAUGUCAUGAGCUUAAAAGCCCAUAAACACUCAAAAUGAAGAAAUAUUUUGUUCAAUGUUUUGAAAAAUCACGUAAAAAAAUCAAUGUUCCUUAUAGCAAUAGCCAAAAUUUCAACGCUAGAUGUGGUCUGGUAACAUAGAUUUAACGUGAUUAUGAUACAAAAUGCUCGUUUUUAUUUUUAUGUGUCACAAUAUACUCCAUUUGAAUUUCCGGCUUUGAUAUCCGAACAUUUACGAGCCAACAUGAGAUUGGCUUCGGGCAGCUUCGAAAGCACGAAGUAGUUCUCAUGAAUACUUGUUCUUCAAAUGCUGCCUGAAGCCAGUCUCGUGUUCGCUUGUAAAUGUUCAGAUAUCAUGGCAGGAAUUAAACAUGGAAUAUAUUGUGACACAAAAAAAAACAACAAGCAUUUUGUAUCGUGUUAAACCUAUGUUACCAGACCACAUCUAGCGUUCAAAUUUUGGCUAUUGCUAUAAAGAACAAUGAUUUUGUGUGGGUUAACUUUAAUUUACUAAAUAUUUUGCAAAAUAUUUGUUGAUUUUGAGUAUUUAUGUGGCUUUGAACAAUAGCUACUGACCAGGGCUGGUAUUCAUAAUGCUUCUAAAGGUAAACUUAGGAAAAUUCCUUAAAUAAUAAAAAAAUCCUUGAGUCUUUUGCUCUUUCGUUUUGGUGUCUUUUUUUCAUUUAGUUGGUUUAUUUAAGUAAAUUUUGAAUAGAAGAACAGUAUUUAUGCAUUACAAAACUGAAAUAAUUAAAAUUUCAAUAGAAAAUUGAAUUUUAAAAUUUUCCCUUAAAUCCAGCUUAUGUUAAGAUUUGACUUAGGAGCUUUAUGAAUACCAGCCCAGUCUAUAUGACUGCUCAGAUGGGUCUGGCACAUAUAUGGCACAGGACCCAUUAUCGCAUGAGGCAUUUCAAGUAUAAUGUGCAUUGAAAACAUGUUCUACUUUCAUUAUUGAAUAUCUUAUUCAUUUCAAAAUAAUCUGCAUCCAUUCUUCUGAUACUGAUAUUUCAAUGAUAACAUUAAAUUUAACUUAUGUAGAACUUUCUCUUCAUUUGUGGGGUUAAACUGUUUUGUAGGAUCCAUGCAUCUCUUUGGUACUUAAAAACGCUUGCUUACCAUGUUAAUAAGGACAUUUUGUUGGAUAUUGUUAUUUUCUGUUAUAUUAAACGUAAUGAAUGUGUUUGUAAAUAUUAAAUAUAAUAAACAAAUUUUUCAGUUGUUUAAGUACCAGAAGUUGUUAUUUGUUAUAUGAUAUGUUACAUAAUUGAUCACAUUGUUUUUUAUCUGAGUAAUUGCACCAAUUCAAUGGACCAACAUUGUUAUUAUUUUGAUUGAUAUAUUGUGUUCCUAUUGUUCCUUGUAUUAAGAAAGAAUCAUAUAGAUUAACAAGAUUUUACAGAGGUAUAGUUCAUGCCUAGAACCAUUUAGAUGACCAAGUUUUGACAUGUAGUUCAUGCCUAGAACCAUUUAGAUGACCAAGUUUUGACAUGUAGUUCAUGCCUAGAAUCAUUUAGAUGACCAAGUUUUGACAUGUAGUUCAUUCCUAAAAUCAUAAAGAUCACCAAUUUUUGACAGGUAGUUCAUUUCUAGAACCAUUUUGAUGACCAAGUUGUUACAAAGUUAGUUCAGGCCAAGAACCCUUUAGAUGACCAAGUUUUUAACCAGGUUUUCUGAAGGAAAAAACUGGUUAUUAGAUUGGGGAAUGUGGAUGGGCGGCCUGGAGGGCGGCCGGAACAAGCUUGUCAGGGCCAUAACUUUGUCGUUCAUUGUGAGAUUUUAAAUCAUUUGGCACAUUUGUUCACCAUCAUUAGGCAGUGUGUCGCGCGUAAGAAUUACAUCGAUAUCUCCAAGGUCAAGGUCACACUUUGAGUUCAAAGGUCAAAAAUGGCCAUAAAUGAGCUUGUCCGGGCCAUAACUAUGUCAUUCAUUGUGAGAUAUUAUAAUCAUUUGGCACAUUUGUUAGCCAUCAUUUGACGGUGUGUCGCACGAAAGAAUUACGUCAAUAUCUCCAAGGUCAAGGUACCCACGACUAAAAAUAGAUUUAUUUUGAAACAAAGGGGGUAAAUUUUAAACAAUAGUUCAGUUUUACUUGUCUCCCUUUUAUCGACUUUUUUUCAAAUUGAAAACCUGGUUUUGUGACAAUUUGUCCCUUGUUACAGAGUUAGCUCAGGCUAAAAACUGUUUAGAUGUACAUAAAAUUUACAGAGUUAGUUCAGGCUUAGAAACAUUUAGACGACCAAGUUUUGCCUGCUAGUUCAGGCAAAGAACCAUUUAAAUGACCAAGUUUUGACAGCGGUAGUUCAGGGCUGGGUUUUUACUGUUUCCAGUUUUGUGGGCCAUAUACAUGUAAGAAUUGUUUAAUAGAUGUCAAUUAACCAUUAUAUUAAUUGAAGGACAAUAAAUAGAUGUUUUGUGGGCAGUUUCAUGUGUAUGAUUCUGUGUAAAAUAUUAGUUUUUAUUGAAUAAUUGAUUGAUUUUAAUUGUUUCAGGAAGGGGUUUUUUCUGUUUGAUGUUCAGAAAGUUUAUCUCAGAUAAGCACAACAGUUACUGAUAAUGAGUAUGAAUGGUUUCCAUAUUAAUUGCAAUAACAUUUAUUUAAAUUUUCUCUUUACCUUUACAAUGAACUUCAUUCUUGUCUUUCAUGCGCUGCAUGACUUAUGUUUGUAUUGCUGAUAUUUGUGUGUAGAGAAAAGUAAAGUUAGUCAUGUGAAAACAAAUAAUUUGAUUAUUUCUGACAUAUAUCAAUAUAAAAUAGUAAAUGUUUUUAGGUGACAAAUAUUUCAUUGUUUAAUUUUGUAUGAGAACCAUGUAUGCAUUUAAUGCACACUGUUUUCAGUUAUGUAUAUCUAUACACAUUUUAUUGAUAUAAAGUUAUUAACACCUCAGUAGAAACAAAAAUAGCAAAUACUUUGCCUAACUACAAUCAUUACAAAAACUUUGUAUAUAUUAUUAUUCUGCCUUGUAUAUUCUUGUAUAAGUGCUAUUGAAUGCAUAUAUAAACUAUCUGUACUGGUAUAAUUUUUACUUUAUUAUGUGCAAUACAUUAUAUUAAAUAAUAUAAACAGAAAGUAAUA